AGAGUCAACAAUGCAGUUGCUGCAAUUUGCAGAGGAAAGUCCGGGCUCCAUAGGUAGGAACGCCAGGUAACACCUGGGAAACGUGAGUUUACGGAAAGUGCUACAGAAAAUAACCGCCAGAACCAUCUGGUAAGGGUGAAAAGGUAAGGUAAGAUCUUACCAGCGUAUUUGGUAACAAAUAUAGUAGAGCAAACCCCGUUCGGAGCAAGGCAAAUUUAUAGCAUAGUGUCAACCUAGGACCUGCUAUAUGGUAUGCUGCUUGAGGUUUUUGGUGACAAAAACCCUAGAUAAAUAACUGCACACGACAGAACCCGGCUUAUUUGUUGGCUCUUAGA
rnacentral:RNase_P_RNA from 1 species